rnacentral:tRNA from 1 species
GGCUCUAUGGUCCAGUUGGUCACGGAUACCCCGCUGUCUACGGGGAGACCUCGGUUCAAAUCCGAGUAGAGUCG